rnacentral:rRNA from 1 species
AACAUAACCUUUAGCCAAACCAGUAUUAAAGGCAACGCCUGCCCAGUGAACAAUUCAACGGCCGCGGUACCCUAACCGUGCAAAGGUAGCAUAAUCAUUUGUCUACUAAUUAUAGACCUGCAUGAAAGGCAAAAUGAGGGCCCAACUGUCUCUUAUAAUGAAUCAAUUAAACUGAUCUUCUAGUAAAAAAGCUAGAAUUCCAACAUAAGACCAGAAGACCCUGUGAAGCUUAAAUCAAACCAUUAAAACAAAUAAUGACUAAUUUAGGUUGGGGCGACCUUGGAAAAAAAAAGAACUUCCAAAUAUAUGACUACAUCAUACCACACAAAAUUAGGCCAACAAGCCACUAAACGACCCAGCUUCAGACUGACUAUCGAACCAAGUUACUCCAGGGAUAACAGCGCAAUCUUCUUCAAGAGCCCAUAUCAAAAAGAAGGUUUACGACCUCGAUGUUGGAUCAGGACAUCCUGAUGGUGCAGACGCUAUCAAGGGUUCGUUUGUUCAACGAUUAACAGUCCUACGUGAU